CAGAGACGGGACAAGAUCCCGGAGGAGCUCGGGUUUGCGGAAGUAUUGUGAGGAUUGUUUGUCGGCUCGUGGAGCGCUGUGUUUCAGAUCAAGUUCCGGAAGGGAAGCCGCGGCUCAGGGUCCGAGAGCCACUAGCCUCCCCACAUUUGGGGUGAGACCGGGCGCGAUUCGACGUCGCUGCUGUUGGCCCUCCUCACCCAUUCUUCUUCCCCAAGGAACCGCCUCGUAUCUCAGCCAUGGCAUCCACGUCAUCCAAUCUCCAGUAUUGUUUUGCCUUUCUUCGACAGAAAGCCAUAGACCUUGCUAGCAAAGCAGCACAAGAGGACAAAGCCGGGAACUAUGAGGAAGCCCUUCAGCUCUAUCAACAUGCUGUGCAGUAUUUUCUCCAUGUAGUUAAAUAUGAAGCCCAAGGUGAUAAAGCCAAGCAGAGUAUCAGGGCAAAGUGUACAGAAUAUCUUGAUAGAGCAGAAAAACUAAAGGAAUACCUGAAAAAGAAAGAGAAAAAACCACAGAAGCCAGUGAAAGAGGGACAACCAAGUCCAGCUGAGGAUAAGGGGAAUGACAGUGAUGGGGAAGGAGAAUCUGAUGAUCCUGAAAAAAAGAAACUACAGAACCAGCUUCAAGGUGCCAUUGUUAUAGAGCGACCAAAUGUGAAGUGGAGCGAUGUUGCUGGUCUUGAAGGAGCCAAAGAAGCCCUUAAAGAGGCCGUGAUACUGCCUAUUAAAUUCCCGCAUCUGUUUACGGGCAAGAGAACACCAUGGAGGGGCAUCCUAUUAUUUGGGCCACCUGGAACAGGAAAAUCCUAUUUAGCCAAAGCUGUAGCAACAGAAGCAAACAACUCAACAUUUUUUUCACUAUCUUCCUCUGACCUUGUUUCUAAGUGGCUAGGUGAAAGUGAAAAGCUUGUUAAGAACUUAUUCCAACUUGCCAGAGAGAACAAACCUUCCAUUAUCUUCAUUGAUGAAAUUGACUCUUUGUGUGCUUCAAGAAGUGAAAAUGAAAGUGAAGCCGCGCGCAGAAUUAAGACAGAGUUCCUAGUCCAAAUGCAAGGGGUUGGUGUGGACAAUGAUGGAAUUUUGGUCCUGGGAGCUACAAAUAUACCCUGGGUUCUGGAUUCUGCCAUUAGGCGAAGGUUUGAGAAACGAAUUUAUAUUCCUUUGCCUGAGGCCCAUGCACGAGCAGCAAUGUUUAAACUGCACUUGGGGGCCACUCAGAACAGCCUAACAGAAAAAGACUUCCAAGACCUUGGAAAUAAAACUGAUGGUUAUUCAGGGGCAGAUAUUAGUAUCAUUGUGCGAGAUGCACUUAUGCAGCCUGUAAGAAAAGUGCAGUCAGCUACUCAUUUUAAAAAGCACAACAGAAUAAAAAAAAACGGUUUGUGGACCUUCAAGAGCUGAUCCUAACAACAUGGUAGAUGAUCUGCUAACGCCCUGUUCCCCGGGUGAUCCUGGUGCCAUUGAAAUGACAUGGAUGGAUGUCCCUGGUGAUAAACUUCUGGAGCCAGUUGUUUCCAUGUCGGAUAUGUUACGGUCGCUGUCUAGCACAAAACCCACAGUAAAUGAACAUGAUUUGCUGAAAUUAAAGAAGUUUACAGAAGAUUUUGGCCAAGAAGGCUAAGCCAAAGACAGGGAAGAGGUUUACCAUAUGUAUUCUUUCCUAGACAUUUUUGCCUUUCUCAGAUGGCAUUCAGAUUAUUUCCAGUUUUAAAACUCUUCUGCCACAGGGAUAUAUAGAUCUCAGUUCAGAGUUCCUUUGAGUUUUAUACUGUACUUUUCCUCCAUUACCUAUUAAAUAUGCUCCUAUUAACGAAAAUAAUAAAAUAAUGGGUUGUAAAGAAAUGAGUGCUAUAUGAAUGGCAAAUAAUAGAAAUUACCCAGUAUAAAAAGCAGAUUAAAAUCGAUGGAGAGAUUGAUAUUUGCAAUUUUUAUGAACGGUGGUCUUUGCAAAGAGCACUUACCUUUUUUUUUUUUUUAACUAAACUGAAAUAAGGUCUUUAAUAUUUUGGGGGAAAAAAUUCUUAAACAUCAUUCUUAUUAUCAAAGUAAAAUUUAUUUACUAUUAAAAAAUUAAAAAUGGUAGACUCUUCACUCUCAGGGAUAGGCAAUAUAUGAUAAAACCACAGAGAGCACCGGGAUUGGGUUUGAAGGAUUUUGAAUUGCGUUACAACCAGCGCUCUUACUAAUCUUUGAUAGGUUGUCUUUUUUCUCCGUGUAGAUUUAAAUAUUUUCUUUAAAAGCAGCAAGCUUUUGUAUUUAACUAAACAAUACCUUUCACUGUGCAAUUUCAAGGGAAAGACUUUCUAAAUUAAGCAUUGUCUUUACCUUGAAAAUUGUCUGUUUCAAUGUCUUUUUGUACCAAUUUUGACCAAAACAGUUGGUAAAUAAGUAUGUAAUUUUUCAAUAAUUCUGUCAUGAAAUACUGUAAUGGGAGCCUUUGCUAGUAAGGAAAUCACCUCCUUUGGAUUACAGGAAGUUUCUUGUAUGUGAUGUGGGGGUGUGUAUAUGUAUAUAUAUACAUAUACAAAUUUUUUUUUAAAAUAUAGAAAGGGUCUUAUCUUUUACCUUUUAAGUUCAGGGAACAGUUUGUCCUGGCCACACAUAUGUUAUCAGUGUAAUGCUUUAUGAAGCUUUAGAAAUGAGCUGAUGUCUCAUUAAAUAAUAAAAUACAAACAUGGUAUUUUGUUAUUAUCAUAUCUUCAAAUAAAUAAUCUGAAGAUGUGUUACACUUUAGCAUCAACACUAAGUUGUGCCUUGUACAUUUGCAUUGGCUAUACAUGCAAAAGAUUGUUGCUAGCUAGAAUAGAUUGCUUACUUGCUACAAAGUUCUACCUUGCAAAUGCUAUAGAAUAACUUGCUUUUUAAAGUAUAUUUGCACAUUUUACAUAUUAUGCUAUAUGGUUGCCUUUGGUUUUCUGUACAGAUUGUUGAUGUUAAAUUGAAAUCAUAGGUCUGAAAUAUGCUGUCCUUACAUGAAGUAAAUUGGUACAACCUACUAUUGGCUAUAUUUUGUGUAUGCUUCUUUAUUUGGGGACCUUCAGUGUUAAAGACAAUACUGUCUAAAUUGAUUAGAUGCAAAGAAAUCAUUUAAAAAAUCUAAGUUAAGGAUUUAUAUGUGAAAAUUCUAUUUUUCAAUAAUUUUUAUGUGAGGGUUGGGAAUUAACUUGUUGGACCAACACUGACUUUGUAGAUGUCUUAUAACUAACAUAGUUUAUUUGUUAGUCAGCCUCAGAAUUAUAUAUUGUUAUUAAUUAUAUAAUUAGGAGAAUUAUGUAAUAGUGGAAAUCCAGAAUUUUUUUUGUGAAUCCUAAAUUUAUUUUGAGGAGAGUAUUCUAUUCAAUUGAUGAAAUACAUGACCAAAUAGUAUGUAAAGUAUAGAAUUAAUGAUAAGUGGAUACUUUGCCCCAUUUAAUUCUUAUAUGUGCUUUGAGAGCUGUGUCUCAAUAUUCAUGUCAUUUCCAGCCAUAGCUCCAUUAUCAAAAUUUCUGAGUCUAAAACUAUUCCUGGGAUCUAAUAACUUUAGACUCAUUCUGCAGUGGCAGAGCUUGGUACACGUGCUAUUUCCAUAUGAUCUUACAUGAACAGAUAACAUAAGCAAAGGAGCCUGAAUGUAUGUGCUGUUUCUCUGGGCCUUGACCAUUAUGAAAUUUUGGGUAGACAUUUUCUGAGUCAAUAAGUAGACCCUACUUGGGCAUCUCUAUAAGCUGCACCCUGGGUGUUUAAGAGCAUUUUGUCUCAGCCUGGAAAUGAUAAACCAAAAACCCAAACACAUUGCCAUCGAGUUGAUUCUAUCGAAUGAGUGUAGUAGAACUGCUCCAUAGGUUUUCCAAGGCUAUAUUCUUUACUAGGGAAGCAGACUGCUACAUCUUUCUCCCAUGGAGCAACUGGUGGGUUCAAACCACUGACUUUUCAGUUAGCCAAGUGCUUAACUACUCUGCUACCAGGGCUCCUUUGAAAACUCUGUUGGGGCUCUAUUUAUAAGGCUGUCAAUAUUGACUUUUGAGUUCCCUGUGGGCUACAUGCAGGGAAACAGAAUGAGUGUAUUUGGUUAUUAGUGCUACUGAAGCACCAUUCAGCAACUUGCAUCAUUAAGAGAUGGAAGCAUAUGCACCUAACAUUGCUGCCAUAAAUGUUGCUGGACAUUGUUGCACAUGAAGCAGUACAGAGCGUCCAGCAUUGACAAUGAUGUCGUCUCAAGUCUGUGAGCUCUCAAAGGCACCACCAUUCUACCUCAAGAUCUUCAUGUCCAACAUUCUGUUGCUCCAAUACUGUGUCCUUUCCUCUUUGCUAGUCUAAAUCCCAUAUUUCCAUUAAGACCCAGCUCAUGAUCCAUGGAAUCUCUUCCAGAAAGAAUUCCUAAACUAUCCCCAUCCUACCUUUGAAUUUCUCUAACACCUUAGUGGCUAUUAUCUAGAGACUUUUCUCCAAGUUUCAGGCGUAUUCUCUUAACCUUGUUUAGACCAUGUACACUGGAAACUCUUCAAAGAGUUACAUUGUCCCCAGCAAUUAGCAUAGUGCUGGACACUGUUUACUAGGUACUUAAUAAAGGCUUGAGUAAAUAAGCGAAUUGUGUCCUUAUUUUGAUCUACUUCACAGAUGACCUGAGGCUUUUUAUAGAACAGUUAAUUUGAAGUGACUUUGUCGUUGCUGGUCUAGUGAAGUUAUGAUGAAUUUUUGUGUUUCUGCCUUGGUUAUUGGGGACUCAAAUCAGGUGUGCAGGAGCUGGCUUACAGUAGCUCACACGAACCAACUACACAUCUGUGGACAUUUUUUCCCAAUGCCAAGUCCAGUGACCUUAUGUUUGUAUUCAUACCACAGAAAUCAUGGUGAUGUAUUCACACCACAGAAAUUAUGGUGGUGUAUUGAACCCACCAGCUACUUGUGGAGGAAGACCUGGUGAUCUGCUUCCAUAAAGAUUACAGCCUUGGAAACUGUGGGGCAGUUCUGCUCUGUCCUGUAGGGUUACUGUAAGUCUGAAUUGACUGUAUGGCAAAGGAGAUGGUAAUAAAGGAGAAAAGUUUUAUUUAUAGAUGCAUGAAAACCAUAAAAUACAACACCUAUUUAUGAUUAAAAAAAAAUUCCAUAAACUAGAAAGGGGAACAUCUUAAUAUAACCAAAAAAAAAAAA